rnacentral:rRNA from 1 species
CCCUUAGACGUUCUGGGCCGCACGCGCGCUACACUGACCAGUGCAACAAGCAUCCGUCCUUGGCCGACAGGCCCGGGCAAUCUUUGAACGCUGGUCGUGAUGGGGAUAGACUUUUGCAAUUUUUAGUCUUCAACGAGGAAUUCCUAGUAAACGCAAGUCAUCAACUUGCAUUGAUUACGUCCCUGCCCUUUGUACACACCGCCCGUCGCACCUACCGAUUGAAUGGUCCGGUGAAGCCUCCGGAUUGGCGCGCACCUCGGUGCCGCCGAGAAGUUGGCUAAACCUUACCAUUUAGAGGAAGGUGAAGUCGUAACA